CAGGGCUCUCUGAUCUUUGGAGAUGGGCGAUGGCUCUGUUUUGAGCCGAGUGAGCAGCGGCAUUGCCGAAUCGAGGCGCGCAGUGAGCAGCACUUGCGUGUUUGGAGGCCGAGUGCUGCGCAGCACGGGCAAGGCGGCAUGGAUUGCAGGCACAACCUUUUUGCUGCUGGUUGUGCCACUUAUUUUUGAGGUGGACAGGGACCAGCAGCUGCAGGAGCUUGAGUCUCAACAAGCGACGCUGUUGGGUGGUGCGGCCCAGCCUGCUGCUGCUGCUGCGGCUGCGGCCAAAUGAGGAUAUAACCAUGAUUUUGUUCUAUCCUGAUGAUUCCUGAAGGUCCCGAGUAUGGGCACUCAUACGAACAUAAAAACUGUUAAUUGCCUUGGGAUCAGAAAAAAAAAAACUAAUAUGAAAGAAAUAAAAAUAGUUGAAUAUUCAUUUGGCUGUUUACAAGAAGCAUGAGACCAAGAUAUUAAGCUGUUUUGAUGAUCUCAUGAGCCAUUUGAUGGAUUAUAGUAAAAUCUGUUUUGAUUCUGCCACCAAGUCUUUUGUCCAUGCCCUGAGCUUCACUGAUCUGCUUAAUGCCCUUCAUGAAGCUCAGAUCUGCUUAAUGCCCUUCUUAUUGCAUCUUAGGUUGCUUAUGGCAUCUUGGGUAAUGUGAUCUUUCUUGAGCUUCACUCAUGCUAUUAUUACAUCUUGGGUUAAUUUUGGGUUGGAUGUCACUUGAAAAAUUGAUAUUGUGAGUGUUUGGAAUAUGGAAAGGGAAUACAAGAAAAUGUGCAUAUCAAUUAGCCCAAAAACCCUAGUUUAUAUAUAGAAGCGAGUGGUCCGAAUUGAAACCAAUCCGACGGUUACUAAAAUCCCACUAUGCUAAUAUUAAUAUAGUCGUACACUUGGCCUUCACAUCAUCCCCUCCUCUUGGAAUAAUGGAAGACCAUUAGGGUUCUUUUGUAGAUGGGCCGGGAUCGGGAGGAACGUCAGGAGGAGGCAUUGGUGGAUUUGUAGGUGGUAUUAAAUCCUCCUAAUCCCUUUGUACUAAGAGUUUUAGUUGCUGCACAUGCACAAUUUCUGGAGUAUUGGCCUGUUAAAUAUCAUGCCGAACCUUAUAAACUUGUGGUCCAACUUGCCGCAACACUCGAUACGGUCCUUUUUACUGCGCAAGAAGCCCUUUAGAUAAACCAUGUAUUGUAAGAUGGGGAAAACGGACUAACACAAAAUCAUCCACUUUGUACUCCGCAAGUGGAUGAUGAUGGGAAUUGUAGCGCCAUUGUUGUCCCACUUGUACACAGCCUAAGUGUUCAACAGACUCUGUUCGGACAAGUGGAAGAAUACUCGUCAAAUACUGAUCACAUGACCUAGCAUCGAUAGCUCGUGGCAACCGCAAAGGUAAACCCAACUCCGUUGGUAAUAUUGGAUCAUGACCAUAUAGGAGUUUAUAUGGUGAAGCACCAAUAGAACUCUGCACCCCUGUGACAUAUGCAUACCGAAGAGACGGCAAAUAACCAUCUCAAUCCGAAUGUUGAAAGUUCACAUAUUUCGCAAUCAUCUUUUUAAAUGUCCGAAUGAGCCGUUCUACCAGACCGUUUGAUUGUGGAUGAUAAGCACUCGUGAAAGUGUGGCGUAUCCCCAACCGAGACGUCAAGACAUGAAAUGCCUCAACCAUAAAUGCAGGACCAUUAUCCGAAAGAAUCCGCUCUGGACAAGAAUACUGGAGCACCACUUGAUUGAGGAGGAAGUAUCCAACAGUAGUUGCAGAGGCGCUAGCAAGAGCACCAACUUCCACCCAACGAGUUAUGUAGUCAGAAGCAAUAAUAACAUACUCAUUGUUAGCAGUCGACCGUGGAAAAGGUCCUAUAAGAUCAAAUGCCACCAACUCAAACGAACAGGAAACUGCAAUUGACUCUAACCGUCCUUCCGCAACACGAGGGGGAGUAUUACGAGCUUGGCACCAAACGCAGCUACGCAUAUACCGGAUAAUAUCACAUCGCAUCUCCAGCCAAUUAAAAGACCGGCGCAGCUUCUCAGUUAGACAACAAUGUCCCAUAUACCCACCUUGAAUUGGAGAAUCAUGGUAGGCAUGGAGAAACCGCAGAAUAAAGAUAGAAGGCACCACCAGCCAUAAAUGAUCAUCAGGAUCCGUCCCCACAAAAUAAAGAAGGCCAUCUUCAAAGCGAUAUUGAGAAUGUAAAUGCAGGAAAGGCAAGUCAUCAGCAAGUGAUGCAAGAUUCUCAAACCCAUCUCGAAGCCUUCAAAUUCAUGGCUUAAUUUUUUUAGCCUCGCAAACCUCAUCAAGAGAAGGUAGAUCUUGCUCUACGCCUUGUGGACACUGAACGUCAAGAACAGCAACUGUCGAGGGCAUAGAAUCCUCGUCUAGAAAAUCCACAAAUGCUGGAACAAUAGGUUCAUCAGAAACAUGAGAAAUGAGUGGAGAAGGAAGAGGAGCUCGAGAAAGGGCAUUAGCAUCAGCCAUAGAACUCCCUGGGCGAUGAACAAAAUCAUAAACAUAUAUCUGAAACUUCAAAGCCCACUGAACAGUAUGACCAACUAGGUUCUUCCGCUUCAAUAAUGAAGUAAUAAUAGCAUGGUCACCUUCAAGUAACGUCCAAGAACCAUGUAGAUAUGCAUGAAGUUUCUUGAAGUUUUUAGACUGCUGCUAAACACUCCUUCUCUGUCGUGGAGUAGUUUAUCUCUGCUAGUUGUAAUUUAUGACUUAUAUAUACAAUGGGAUGGCGGUGAUCAGGCACACUCGAGCUCUCUUGCAUUAACACACCUCCAAGACCAAUGUCAAAAGCAUCCACGUGCAAAACAAAAUGUCGAGUGUAGUUAGGAUAUGCCAAAACUGGAGGAGUUGUCAAUAGCUCUUUGAAAUCCCCGAAUGCCCGCUCACAAUCCGGAGACAAGAUGAAAGAUGACGUUGAUGAUUUCAGCAAUGCUCGCAACGGUGCAGUACGAUCAGAAAGAUGAUCCAUAAAACAACCGAGAUACUGCACCUUGCCUAAGAAGCGUUGCACAUCAUUCACUUCGGAGUAGGGAACUUCAGAAUAGCCACAAGUUUGUCAGGAUCAACUUGCAAACCCUCACGAGAAAUAUGGUACCCAAGAUAAGUUGUGUCCUUGGACCCAAACAUGCACUUCGACCGCUUCAGCUUUAAACCAACGUCACGUAGCCAAUCCAACACUUUACAAACAUCACAAAAGUGCUCCUCCUACGUCCCCUCUGAGUGGAUCAAGACAUUAGCAAUGAAGUCAACAGUCACCUCCGGCAUAUUGCAAAGAACCUCGUCCAUCAUCUGCUGGAAAGUUGCUGAAGCAUUGUUUAAACCAAACGGCAUCACCAAAAUCUCAUACAAACUAAAUGGUGUAUGAAAAGCAGUCUUUGGAAUAUUUUCUUCGGCCAUCGAUACUUGCCAGUACCCAGAAGCAAGAUUUAACUUGGUGAACCAACGACUUCGCCCCAAAUGAUCCAAGAGAUCAGCAGUGUGAGGAAGAGGGUACACAUCUGGGAUCGUCACUUCCUUUAACGGAUGAUAGUCGAUACAGAAACGAAUACUCGUAUUAGGCUUCAUCACAAGAUGAGAUUCACAUGCCCAAGGAUUCCACAACUUCUGAAUAACACCCUUCUCCAACAUCUCCUUGACGUUUGCACAUAAAAUCUUGAUUUCCUUGGGCGACCGACAACGAACAAAAACCUUGAUUGGAUGAGCAUCCCCGGUUGGAAUCGGAUGACGUGUGGCAAUCUUGGCCCCAGAUGAUAGGUCAAAGUCAAAGAGAUCAAAAUACUCCUUCAUGAGCCGGUCAACCAUUGCAACACAAAGAUCGUCGGAGGGAUCGAAAAAGGGAAGAGCAGAAUAAGAUGGAAAUAUAAGAAGAAAUAGUGGGGGAACAAAAGUAAUGGAAGCAGAAGUAGAAGUAAAGGGACGAAGAGGUACGGAAGUGAGAGGAAUGGAUGAAAUAUAAGGAAGUAUGAGAGAAGGGGGAGAAGCCUCAAAGUUAUAUUUGGCAUGAUUGCGUUGCAACCAAUCUAUACCAAGAAUGAGGUCAAAAGCUUGACUCAACACCACCCGCAACGACUGCAACUCAAGCUCGAGAUCGCCCACACGUACAACCAGGUCCGCCUUAUCCCAUGCACAUGCAUGUGUAUGGUUGUUGCCAUAAAAAAUGAAAAUUGGUUCCACCGCACGACGCAAGUGUAAAUGGUAACGUGUGGCAAUAGGUCGAGCAAUAGAAGAUAAACUCAAACCUGUAUCAACCAAUACGAAGAGAAUAAUAUGAAACCUCUUGUUAUAAAAACGAGCUUGGAACAUAAACACUAGAUGAACCGGUGCCAAGUGAACCCCUUGAUAAUACUCCCGAAAGAAAGAUAGAAGGGUCAUUGACUUAUUUGCGCAAGGUCCCUCCGUUACUUGCGCGACUCUUCAUUUCCCGGAUGCAUUUUGGUGUCCAAACCUUCCACGGCAGCAGCACCAAUGGGACGUUGCUGACGCCAAGGUCUCCAGCCAGGAAAUGGAGGUCGCCAAUCCAGAAAACGCCGACAAUGCCGAUAAGUAUGACCAACUUCAUCACACGCCCAGUAACGAACAUCACAGCUAUGACCACGUCCUCGCCCUUGUCCUUGGACUCAAGUAGCAGCAGCAUCAACCUCCAUUGGAACAGGACCAUCACCCAUAGGAAGUGGAGCUGAAGGACGUGUAGUGAGAAGUGGAAGAGGCGACGUCUCAUAACGUUGUGCCAAGUGAAGAGCAUCAUCAAGGGUGGCGGGAGCAAGUGCAUGCACAAGUCCGACAAGAUCUUGAUGAAGUGCUAGCCACAACAUUCCUAGCUUGAUCCGCUCCGACAUAUUUGGCUUCGCAUGAAAUAAAAGACUUUGGAAACGAAUGCCAAAUUGCAUCAUCGACUCAGAUGGCCCUUGGCGAAGACGAUGCAAUUGUUGGAAGGCAUCAUCACAGUCAUCGGUAUGUCCGAAGGUGCGUUUGAAAAUGUCCGGAAGGACACUCCAAUCCCCAUGAGUGGCUGCGCUCAACCCAUUGUACCACUGCGCCAUCCCUUGAAGACACGUGGGAAACUCACGCAAACGUUGAGCAUCAUCCCAAGAAUAAUAUGUGGCAAUCACUGUGAAGUGAUCGAACCAAUGGUACACAUCAUCCCCAGGAUUCCCGCGAAAAAACUUUGGCUGAACGCAAGGAUUAGCACCAAGAGUAGGAGGAGUUGUACCACGUGCCAUGCAUGCCGCCAUCAAUUGAGUUUGGUUGUUCAAUUGCAACUGCAUAGCAUCAAGCAAUUGUACCAAUUGCUGCUCCAGAGUCAAAGGAGGAGAUUGCUGAUCUGCCAUGAAGACAAACGAAGAAAGAGCAAAAGAAGAGAAAUGACAAAAAACUAGAAGGAAAUGGUAGAUCUAGACAAUGCAAAAAGCUAGAUUUAAACCAAAAUCCUGAAAAGAAAGAACAAAAGAAAGGAAAUGGAAAAAGUUAGAUCUAAACAAUGCAAAAAUUAGAUCUAAACCAAAAUCCUAAAUCCAAGCACUUCCUAAAGACAAUCAAAAGUGCCUCUCACCUCCACCAAUGUGAGUGUUUGGAAUAUGGAAAGGGAAUACAGAAAAUGUUCAUAUCAAUACAGAAGUGAGUGGUCUGGAUUGAAACUAAUCCGACAGUUACCAAAAUCCCACUACGCUAAUAUUAGUAUAUGGCAUCGUAGCCGUACACUUGGCCCUCACAAUAUAAAAAUAUAUAAUAUAUUUUUUAAAAAUAUAUCCACUCCUAUUGCCUAGAUUGGUAAUUUAUUUUAGCCACCUUAACAUAUCUACUAGGCAAAAAUACUCAAUCCCUAGUUCAAUUGCAAAAUUCUGGAAUGUGAAGGAGAAAGAAUUUAUAGUAAUCUACAAUCUCAGCUAUAGUGUGAUCAUGAUCAGUAAUCACUCAAUUAAAUCUACACUUCAAGGACCAUGGUUGGCAUGGAGCAUAGGUUAGACAUUUUUUCACCACAUGCUUUAUGUUGUAAACUUUUUCAUAGCAUGUGGAGCAAAAGCAAAUAUCAUGUGGUAGCAAAGGUUUCAAAUAGUAUCUAUGUUUUAUCAUCAAUCUUUAACAUCCUUUUUUGCCUUAGUUUAUAGGUGACUAAGAUUUUUCAAUUGGUAGGUGGUGAGGUCAUCAUAGAUUUUCAAAUUGAAUUAGCACUUGGGGACUGAUGGUGUUUGUGUAAAUUCCAAAAAGGACAAUAUUUUUCAUCUAGUCAUCACAUUGAUGUUAGAGGGAUUGUUAUUCUAAAACUUGAGUUGCUAUAUUAAUUGUGUUGUCAGUGUGAAAAAGUUGUGGCCUUGGUGGUUGUCUAUGAAUCUGAACAUUUCAUAUCAAAGUCUAAAUUAUAUUCAAAUAAAGCCAAGAAAAAAUGGUUAAAAUUACAUUGAAAUAUGUGUUUAAUAUCAAUAGUAUAAGAAAUUACAUUUCAUUUUACAAGAUAUUAAGAUAAUAAAUUUAUCAAAAUCUAGUUGUAAACAUUUUCCAUGAUUUAUUUUAAUGAAUAUGAACAUAAAAUCACUAAAAUUUCUCUUCUUUAACAAACUUCUUAAAUGAUCUGUUUAAUUAUUAAACUUAACGUCUUGCUAGUUCCAUUUAAAAGGUAAUAAAAUAAACACUAUCUCUAUUUAAACCAUUUUUAAAUAAAUAAUAAUAAAUGAAAUUUUUUUUUAGCUUUUCUUUGCUGGCUUAUGAAAUGUUAUAAUUCUAAAAAGAUUUUACAAAAUAAUUAGAUAUGGAGAAAUACGAAAAUUCUUCAGGUUUUUACAAAUAUUAAGUUUUUAAUAUAUAAUUUUAUUAAGAAAUAAUACAUAAUUAAUUAUGAAUUAUUUGAAGCUUUAAAACUAAGUGUAAUAUUAUAAAGUACAGGCAUGCUAUAAUUCAUCAAUAAUAUAAAAAUUAUCAUGGAAUUUAUAAGGGUUUAGUUUUGCUAAAAGAUUUGAGAAAUUAGUAUACUACUUCAAAUGAAUAAAAUAAUAUAUCAGAAAACAAAUAAUAAUAAUAAAAUAAAACAAAAUAUUUAGUAAAUUAAUAUUUUAAAUAACUAAGAAUUACUAGAAUUUAUUCAAUAUUUGACUUUAAUGUAUAAUGUUUUAUAAUCUCUUUUAAAAAUGAUUUUUUAAAUUUGAACUAAGUUUAAAAGCAUAUUAUAGUUGCAAUUUUGUCAAAUUUGAUUACAAAUAUUUUACUAUUGUAUAUAUUUAAAAUACAUAUAAUAACACAAUAAUAUCCAAGCAUCUAACCUAUAAUAAAAUUAAAUGACCUUUUCUUUUGUGAACAAAUACUCUUAUAAAAUAGUAUAAUAUUUUUAAAAUUUUUAUUAUUCUAAAUAUCUAUAUAAAUAUUUUCUCUUAAAUAAGUAUAUGACUUAUUUUUUUAAUAUAUAAUAAGAAAAAAUCCAUAUGAAUUAAAUCAUUUAAGGUUAUUUAAGUUUUUAUGUAUUCUAUAAUUCCAUUUGAAGAUUCACCUUUUCAGUCAGUGUAAUUUUUAAAGAAAACUGUAUAUAAGAAUAAAUAACUAAUCUAGAGAUCAAUUAUUUAAUCUUUAAAAGUUUUAAUAAUUUUGUUUUUAGCUAUAUAAAAAACUUUAACAUUAAACUAGCUAAAGAAUAAGAAAUUGAAUUUUUAUUUUGUAAGGCCUAAUGCCUGCCUUAAAUCAAUCUUCACACCUAUUGUACUUAUAAGUAAGCAAGGAGAAUGAUGUCAAAUCACUUUCCCCACUUAUUAUGCUUGUAAGCAAUUAAAAAAAAUGACUUGAAAUAUGAUCCAUAAGAGUUUAGAGCAAAAGAACUUAUAAGUAAAGUACACCCUUUUUCCUAUUGGUUAAAAGAGUUAGAAUACUUGGGGUUAAGAGUAUUUUGAUUUAAGUAGUAUUGAGUUGGUUGACUCCUUAAGAAGUCUAGAGUUUAAAUUUGAAUAAUAUUGACUCUAUUGGUUGGGAAUCAGAGGAGUAUUAACUCUGAUUCUAUUGAUUGGUUAUAGGGGUUAAUAUAUUUAGUUUCCUAUUUGACUCUAGUGAUGCCAAUAACUCUAUUGGUUGGUUAAAGACAUUUAGUUUACCAUUUGGCUUUAGUGAUGCCAAUAUAAGUUUUAACUUAGAACCAACUUUUAGGUUAUAAAUGUUCUAGAGGUGGUGGUAAAUAAUUGUUCACAACUGAUAAACUAUUUCAAAGUUUGAGCUCUAUACAUACCUUGAUAAUGUUUCAUGACCACCUUCAUCUGUUUUCAGGAUUGUUAGGACAAGAACAUCUCUAGAUGCAUUCAUAACUCUGGAUCGAACUAUUUAUACUAGCACCAAAGUGGCUCUUGAUAUAUUGGGUCACAUGAAUAUGUAGCUUUUGCAUUUUUUCCAACAUGAUGGAGUUUUAGAAGAAUAUACUAUGGCAAAUUUUUCACCAAUAAUACAAUCAUAUAGGAGAUAGAAAUUCUUUAAUGCCCUAAAGAACCACAUGUGUGUCAAGUGUGUUAAGUUCUUGCAAAACAUGGAUAUAGACAUGGUGAUAAAUAGCUCAUCUUUGCUAUCAAUUGACAGAGCUCCUUUUUGCAAGGAGGCAAUAAUGGAAAUUGCCUAUAGUGUCAUCAAGCCUAUAGUUCUUUAAUCUCUUAAUCAACCAAUAAUGUGGAUUUAUUUUAAUUAACUUAUAAGUUCUUUAUUAUAAACAUCAAUCAUAUGGAGUACAAAACCUGGUGCAAAAGGUAAUCAAUGUUUAGAAGAUUUGAUAAUAUAUAAUGAUUAUUAUUUAUGAUCAUACAGAUUAAUUUGGAUAAAUUAUUAGGUUUCUGUUUUAUUAUGUAUUCAAUGUAAUUGUUUAUGACUCAAAUCAUAAAUAAUUUUCUACCCAAUGCAUAUAGCAAUUUUGUUUGCUUAAUAGUAGUGUUUAUAAUUAUUAAUAAAAUUGAUCAUUUGGAAGUUUUUAAUUAUAUUCAUGUUUAUAAUUUAUGAGUACAUGAUUAAUCUUAUUAUAUAUCAACCAUUAAAAUAAACUAGAAUAUACUAUAAGUGUUUAGGACAGUUUAAAAAUUAUAAACACAAGAUUAAUCUAAAUGAAUAAAAACUGUUGGAUGAUAAAAUAUCCUAGAAUAUCCAGGCUCCUUUCUUAGAAUGGUGAAAUCUUGUGUUUUGCUUUCAAUAUUGUUAUUGUGCUCAAGAAUUAGGUAAGACUACAUCCCUGACUGCGUACCUCCGAAUUUGGCAUUGCCACAGUUAGUGUGCAGCAUUUGAUUCUAAUAGCUCAAGUAGGAAAUCUGCACAUAUGUGUGUGUGUGAGAGAGAGAAAGAGCGCCAUGCCCCAUACCAAUAUCAUAAUAACAUUUUGCAUAGGAUUAUAAUAUUAUGUGAAACAAAAAUGCAAAUAAAAAUUCUCACACCUAAAAUAUGCUCUGGUGGAAAUUCUGCACAAGAAUGUGUUGAUGGAAAGAACUAUUCCAUUAGAGUGGUUCCAUACUGCCCAUUUGAAGCAAUUGUGCAACAUUGUCCACUGCAGAAAAGUUAGAGCCCCUAGUGAGUUCCAGUAAAAAGAUCACACCUACCAAGUUUGAUUAUCAGCCAAAGCUUGAUUAUUAGUUGCCAAUGGCCUUGAUCAGUGGCGCCUACAUUAUGGAGAUUGAGCUGGGCACCUCACCCAAGAAAUUCAAGGUGAAUGGUGACACAGGUAGUGAUCUCAUGUGAUUGAGAACUGUGCUUGUAGUGCUAUAGUCAAAAUGAGCAAGUUCUUCCUUCUCCCAGAUAUCAUACUCCACAUCUAAUUACUAGCUAAGCACACCAAGAAUUUAUAUGUGGUGCUGAUAUGUAACAUGCUCAUGUAUGCUCAUGCCUUAGAUAAAAAACGUUCAGUCUUAGCGUCAUGCAAAUUUAAUCAUAAUUUGAUUCCAAUAGAUAUCUAGAUAAAGAAUAAAAUAUAAUAAAACAUACGACACAUCAUAUUAUCCUCAUCCUCUAAAGCUAAACACUAUAAGAUGAUUUAAAUGUCUGCAAAUACAAUGAUGUUGUUAAGCUUUUGAUCACCUUUGGAUCAGCUUCUUUUCUCUAGAUUUGAGGUCAGAUAUUCUCAAGCAUAAUAUUCACCAGUCUUUAUGCUCUUACCACGUUCAUUCCUUCAACAUCUAAACCAUGUAUGGAAAACUCCCAUACUUUUAAUGAACCAAUUCUUUCAAAAGGGGGGUCAGACUUAUUCACGUGACCAAAUGAAAGUGGUAAAAUUUUAGUACACGCCCCCCUUUUGCAUAAAUGCUUUUGGCCUUCGGCCGGCUCGCGCAAUCCAAGCCCUCCAUUCUUUGUGCUGACGGCGCAGAUGCUAGCAAACCGACACAAGCAGGAUCCUUGUGACCCACGUACGCCGUUGGAUAGGGACGUGAUCGGACGGCUAAUGAGACGGCUAAACAGAGCCCAAAUAUUUUUCUCUGUAGGUCACAUCGCAGGAUCUUCUCACUGCGAGGAAGAAUGUAGGUGCGAUUAUCGAUCGAUCGAUCGAUCGAGCGAGCGAUCACUUCGCACACGGCAAUCGGUGGCGGCGCAGCAGCUCUCUCGCUCCAGCGAUGGGUCGGACUCCUUGCUGCGACAAAGCAGCUGUGAAGAAGGGGCCGUGGUCUCCCGACGAGGAUGUCCGGCUGCGAGAUUACAUCCAGCGCCAUGGCACGGGAGGCAACUGGAUCACUCUGCCUGGCAAAGCCGGUGAGUUCUUGGAUUCUUGGAAGGGAGGGAUUCCACGCUCGGGCCGCGCGAUGGUCGCAAGAAAGCUCGAAAUUUCGGUGGAGUCCGAUGCAAUGCGUGCUAAUCGAGCUCGGGUUUCGUGGAUCGCAGGCUUGAACCGCUGUGGGAAGAGCUGCCGGCUGCGAUGGGUGAAUUACCUCCGGCCGGAUAUCAAGCGCGGGAGUUUCACUCCCGAGGAAGAGAAGCGCAUUUGCGAUCUCCAUGCCAGCAUUGGCAGCAGGUACUCCCAUCUCUUCUUGCUCGGGAUUUCAUGCUUCCAUUUGCCUGAAACGUCUCUUCUUGUUUGAUUUGAGAGGAUUUGGGAUUGAUUGAUCGAGAAUUCGAACUGAUCAAUCUUUUUCUUUCUUUCUCCUUUGUAGAUGGUCGGUGAUUGCCGCUGAGCUCCCCGGUAGAACGGACAACGACAUAAAGAAUCACUGGAACACAAAGCUCAAGAAGAAAAAUCUCUCGCCUUUUCCGACUUCCACGAAGGCAUCGCCCAUGGCGGAGAGCUUGCAGAGAGCCAUGGAGGCGGUGAAGAAACCGGAGGCAGCGAUCAACGCCAAGAGCGACGAUCCACCUCGCAAAACGCGAUCGGGAAGAGCAAAACCACAGCCUGCCAGUGCCAGCGACGUUCUAGAAGAUCAUCAAGAUCGACGAAGUUCUCACACUUCCAGUUCUUCCGCGAUCACUCCUGACACCAAAACCAACAAAGCGAGCAGCAGCAACAGCAGUACCAGCAGCGGCAUCACCACCGCUUUCCACGAGGAUUGGGCCGCCGAGAACUUCCAUCUCCUUCUUCCCAAGAUGGAGCUAGAAGAAGACUGUUCCAAGCACCAAGAACACGAGUUUGAGCGACGAGACCACCUCCAUCGCCAACUCAAUCGCCGUGCUAGCACUGUCCGAGAGAUCAUCGACGCUGGCCACCUCGAUGCUCUGGCGAGGAAUCUCGCAGCGGUGGACGAGUCCUUCUUCGAUCCAAAUUGGUGGUCUUCCCUCGUGAUCUCUCCCAAACUUCCAGGAGAGAGAGCUCUCGAUUCGAUCUUCGCUAGCAGCGGACACUGUUGUUAGCUUUUGGAAGGAACCUCGCGUUCCAUUUUUUUCCUCUCAAUCUUAACAAAUAUCCACUUCUUUCUAUCAUGAUCUUGAUCAUAGCUCUUAUCCAUCAUCGUUGUAUUUACAUUUGAGAAAACCAUGAGAGUUCUGAGAGAGCCAAUUCUCCCAUGAACAUCCACAACUCUACCACCUUUUAGAUCGAGAAUCUAUCGACGAUGUCCCAAAGGACGCUCCUCAUCUUGUCCAGCGACAGCGGCCUGUAGAGCACCGCCACAAAUCCCAGCUUGAGAAGAUGCUCUCUCGCGCUCGCGUCCGCGUCGGUGGUAAGCGCCACCAGCAGUGGCCUCUCGUUGAUCGGGACCUCCUGGAGCUCCGCCAGGAGAUCCAAGCUCUCCUGCUGCUGCCAAGGCGGGCUCGAUGACAAGUCGAGCACUGCUACUCUGAACCGCGGCCCCGGAGGAUGGCGGACGAGUUGCAAGCACUGCUGGAUGGACAUGGCCUCGGUAACGUCGCAGCCCAGUCGGAGCAUCACUCCUCUGGUCAUGACGUUGCCGCCAGUUUCACUCACCAGGAGGAGUUUGAGUCCGCUCAAGCUCAUCGAUCCUUGCAGUUUGUGCUGCUGCUGCUGCUGCUGUAGUUGUAGUUGCUGUUGCUGAUCGGGUUUGUCUGACUUUCCGAGUUUCACGAGGAUUGUCACGGUCGAUCCCUUGCCGAGGCCCUCGCUCUCGAUCCAGAUGUGGCCCCCCAUCAAGCUUACAAACCUGGAAAGAGCGUGAUGAGAAGCUUUUUCUUUAUUCUAAAGAAGCUAGCAGCUUUUACCUUUUGCAUAGUGCUAAGCCCAGGCCUGGACCGCUCCGCUUGUUGACUUGGACAAACUUUGUGAAGAGCUUGGGGAUGUCUUGGGAGCGUAGGCCAAUGCCAGUGUCCUUUACCUGCCGUUGCAAAGAUGCCGCGGUUAAGAAAAAAGUUUUGUGUGGGUGGAGAGCUUACUUGUAUUCUAAUGUAAAAGUGAGAAUCGCCCUGUGUUGGAAGGAACUCUGGUGCUCUAGGAUCUCGCGAGUACUCCGGCCUCUCCAUGCAAGCGGACACAGUGAUACUUCCAUCCUUCGUGAACUUGACGGCAUUUCCUAUGAUGAAUAGAACGAUCUGCAAGAGACGCUUCUCGUCUCCAACAGCAAAUUCCGGAAGGUCGGCAGCCAAAUUCAUGGUGAUGUAAAGCUUCUUCACAGCAGCUAUUGGCUUCACAAGGUUGUAGACCUGGACAACAACACAAUUAAAAAUUGAAACAACAAAAAGAGAGAGACCGGAGACAAACCUCUCGGAAGAGAAACAGAAGGUUGAAUGGAGCAAUCUCGAGUUGGAAGCUGCCAUCUUCGAGCUUGGAGAGGUCCAAAACAUCGUCUAUAAGCUUGGCCAAAAGCCUGCUAUUGCGUAGGAUGGUCUCCACCAUCGACCGUUGCUCCGCAUUGAGCUGGCUGUCCUGGAGGAGCGACGAGAGAGUUAUGAUCGUAUGCAUGGGAACACGCAUCUCGUGAUUCAUGACAGCCAGGAAAUCGUUGCAAGCGGACACGGCAGUCUCUGCCUCCUGUCGAGCAGCGUCCAGCGCUAUGUUUUGCUCCACUAGCAAGUCUCGGGACCGUAUGGAUUCCUCCAAUAUUGCCGCGUGGGAGAGAGCGACGGCAACCUGCAAAGCAAAUCACCAACUUAGAGGAAAAAGUAAAGAAAAAGGAAUCAAAUAAGAGACCACUUGCCUGGUCGGCGACGACUUCCACAAGCUCAAGCUCGUGAAUGCGCCACCUUCGCGCGCUAUCUGACGGCAAUAUCAAAACCAGCAGCGCAUACGGACCUUUGGCCGGCUCGGGCCAGUCGACGAUUGGAAAGUUCACCAUGCGCAAGAGCGGCACGCGCACAGCAACAGCAUCUCCAGAAAUGUAUUUCCCAGCGUGUGUUCUUGUCAUGGCCACAGGGCUGCUGGACGGAAUGACCACCGCGCGAUUGCUGCUGAAAACCUGUCGCAGCGUUGGGUGGUGUAUCGGCACGAUCCCAACGUUGGCCUUGCUCAGCUGGCGAAGCGAGUGUGUGAGCUGAAGCUCGAGACCGUUUCUAGUCGGCAUCCACAGCGUGCAUUCUUCCAGAGCCAAAGCCUUCCCGAGCUCGACCAGCGUGGAGUUGAGAAUGGUGUGCCUGUCUAGCGUGCUCCGGAUCUCCUGCGUGAGCAUUCUUACGUGCCGGCCAGCCUCUUCCUGCGUCCGGAUGAUCCCCAUCUCCCUGUCCAGCUCGUCCGCCUUGUUCUUGAGGAAGAGCUCGCGGGUCUUGACGCUGAGCAAGUCGGGGAUGAUAUGGACGAGCAUGAGCGCUGUGGCGCACGAAACCACCGCUGUGAGAAUUUUCGCGACUGUCAUCACGGUCGCCAUUGUUCUCGAGUGAGAGCCCAGCGUCCAGAGGCUGAUGAAAUGCGUAGCUCCACACAGGACGAUGAAGGCACCAAACUGUACGAGCACCCAGCGGUAUGGAAACAAGGCGGAUUUCUUGACGAAGUAGAUGAGCUCGAUCGGAAUGGAGAAGUAGGCGAGCGCAAUGAAGAAAUCCGCGAUGUACUGGUACCGGAUGUGGAUGUCAUCGGACGACCACUGCGGCUCGAUGAUGCAGUUGCAAUCCAUCUUGCUCCUCCUCUUCCUCCUGCGCUACCUCCUAGGCCCUUGCCCCUAAUCCCUGGCUGUGAUUCUCACUCCUGGCCGAUCCAGACGCCAUUGGAAUGGAGAAUUUCGGAAUGACGAGGUGGAGAUUACCGCAGAAUCUCACUCUCCCGAUUUCGAGCUGACAGGAGCUCCUAGCGGCGCGGCCGUGCUUACCUCGCGCUCGAGAUUCCAGCGCCUCGAUCGUGGCCAAAACCCUAGACGAAGAGACAGAGAGAGCUCCUCCACUAGCUGCAUUCCGUGGAGCAUAUUGCUAGUAAAAGUCGAAAGCAUUCACGGAAAGAGAAAAACUUCACGGACCAGGCAUAUAGAUGAUCCCGGACCGUUGAUCCUGUAAAAUCGCAUUCCCAGCCGUCGGAUCAAAAUCACAGUUUUACCCACUUUCCCGCGGGUCUCGAGCCGGCGACUUUCUCUCGAGGUAUAUUCUUUUUCCCCUUGAGGUAUAUGCUUUUUCUCUUGCUGAGGAUUAGGGUUGAAGUGCUGCUCGAUCGAUCGAUAGGCGCUGGCGCAGAUCCGGCGCUGCGCAAUGCCGGUGUAGGAGGCGGCGAGAGGUUUGUGUGCCGGACGGGAAUUUCGCGUCGCUGUGCAAUGCGAAAUGGCGGAUCCAGCAGCUUUCGAUUUCUUCUUCCAGCAGGCCGAUGUGGAUCGGGAUGGGAAGGUGAGUGGCGCCGAGGCAAUCCACUUCUUCAAGGGAUCGAAUUUGCCUCAGCCUGUUCUUGCCAAGGUAAUGUAAAUAGCGAUGUAUUUUCCUUGUUUUUAUUCUUUCUUUUGCUCUUUGUAGAUUUGGCAUGCUGCGGACAAUGGCCAUACCGGGUUUCUCUCGCGACCAGAGUUUUAUAACGCCUUGAAGCUCGUCACGGUUGCUCAGUCUGGACGAGAGCUGACGCCGGAGAUCAUGAGAGCGGCGCUCGUCGGGCCGGCGUCGCUCAAGAUUCCAUCUCCAAAAAUUCAGCUCCCCGCGGGCCAGCAGUCGCAAAUCCCAGUUCCUGGACAACAGGCACCACCACCUCUUCCAGUUUCAACGACGCAAGUUACUGUUCAACCUGGUAGGACUUCGUUUAGCAGUGGACCGCCACCUCCACCACUUCAAGGCUCUCUACAACAAAAUGCAUCGUUUAGCGUCGCACAGCCAGCUCCCGGUGCUUUACCAAGACCAUCGUUUACCGGCGGCGGCGCGUCACAGCCACCAUCGUAUACCGGUGCUACCACGCUACAACCACAGCAGGGACCAUCUUUUCCCGGUGCUACCACGCCACAACCACAGCAAACACCAUCGUUUGCCAGUGCUACCGCGUCACAGCCAUCAUCAUCGUUUGCAAGCGCUCCUUUACCACAACCACAGCAAACACCGUCGUUUCCUACGCAACUGCAGCAAGCACCAUCGUUUGCUACCAAUGCAAACACGCCACAGCUUCAGCAAACACCAUCGUUUGCCACUGCUCCUACACCACAGCCUCAGCAAACUCCUCGGGCACCGGUGUAUCAACAGCAACCUCCAGUACAAAGCGUUCCAAGACCAGGUUCUUCCGGUGGACUUGGAGCAGAAUCUUGGCGGCCAAGCAGUGUGCAAGGUCAGCUCUUUUCAUCGGCAACCCCAGUGAGACCAACAACUUCAGCUAUACCCAAUCAAAGUUUUUCUGUCAACAAUGGCCCGAGCACCAACUUUGCUUCCCAGCAAGGUCCUGGUGCUCCUCCGGGGUUGCGGGCUGGAGCUGGAGCUCCCGAUGGAGCUAAAGCCUCUGGAGGAUUUAGUCCCUUUGGCAACGACGCGUUUUCCGUGAGCUCUACUACAGCAAGACCGGCGAUUGAUCAGAACUUUGUUGCUUCAUCUCCGUUGACACCGAGACAGCCGUCUCCUGGAAUGUCCCCGCAAGCGCCGCCUCCUAAAGUCAUGCACGGUUUCAGACCGCCAAUGGGGUCUGCAUGGCCUAAGAUGACAGCAAACGAUGUACAGCGCUACUCUCGAGUUUUUACGGACGUUGACACAGAUAAAGACGGGAAGAUCACAGGCAUACAAGCACGGGAUCUCUUCUUGAGCUGGAGACUUCCUAGAGGUAUUUUAUUUUGUCAGACGUGCAUUGGCUCUUAACUUUCUCUCCAGACGUCUUGAAGCAGGUUUGGGACCUAUCGGAUCAAGAUGGCGAUAGCAUGCUUUCUUUUCGGGAAUUCUCUACGGCUUUAUAUCUGAUGGAACGGCUCCGAGAAGGCCGCCCUUUACCUCCUGUUCUUCCAGCGGGCUUUCAUUUUGACGAUGGCACUCCUCAGUCUCAUCUUGCUGCUGCACAAGGCUAUAAUCAACCUUCUUGGCAGCGCAAUGCAAGUACGUUCAUUCUUUCCUUUUCGUACUGGAGUAUGAAUUAACACAAACGAACAGGACCAGGUAUGCCUCCAGGACUUGUUCCGCAAGAACAAUUCGGCAUGCCAGGUGCAUUUCAAGGACAACAGACAGGAAGACAUGCUAGAGCCAGACCCAGGGGUGCGGAGUUUAAUGGCAGUGACAAGGUAAAUUAAUCAAUAAAGACGUGGGGGCAACCUGACUUUCUGUUAUUUGCAGCCAAAUCAAAGUGAGGGGAAAGUUUUGGAUUCAAAAGAAAAGCUUGAAUAUUAUCGUAACAAGCUACAGGAAAUCGUAAGGACGUCGUCGAGUUUUCUUUUUUUUUUUCUCCUGUGGUAACAUUCUGUAUGCAGGUGUUAUUCAAAAGAAAAUGUGACAACCGUUUAUCGGAGAUCACUGACAGAGCGGCUGCCGAAAAACGCGAGGUGGGAGGUCCUAUUAGUUCUUUGUUUAUCUGGUUGGGAACGUCGAUUUUUGUGUGUAGGAGGAAAUCAUGGCGAAGAAGUAUGAAGAGAAGUAUAAGCAGGCACUGGAAGUGAAUUCACGUUUGGUGUCUGAAGAAGCAGCCUUUCGCGAAACACAGGUCUGCUUGUGCCUAAGAUAUGCAUACUAAAAAAUGGUCUCUUCAGACUCUCAAAUCUGAGCUUCGGAGUGCGAUUGCUGAAAUUGAACGCGGGGGAAAUCCAAAUGCGCUGCUCCAGGUUACGCACAGAAUUAUUUAUGCCUGCUCUGAUUUUUUUUUCCCUCUCCAACAGACUCGUGCAGAUCGUAUUGCAAAUGACCUUGAUGAACUUGAGAAGGCGUUGGUCCAGCGUGGUAACCUUCUUGGGCUUCAAGUUAGCGGGACAGCCAAAGUUGAGCUUCCAUUUGGUAAGUGAAACAAUCAGGACAUUUAUAGCUUAUGCUGACGCGUGGAUUGACAGGAUGGCAGCCAGGGCUUCAAGAAAAUGCCGUUGAAUGGGAUGAGGACUGGGAUAAGUUUGAUGACGAAGGUUGGCAAUUGUUUAUUUCCCAUUCGCAUAUUUACUUAUAAUUCAUGCAGGAUACAACACGAUUCAAGGGAUUAUGGACGAGCAACCUGUAUCUGGAACAGCCUCACAUCCUGGCUGGGACGAGAAUAGCAUGUUUGCUGAUGGCUUUGACUUUGCAUCCGAGCCCAUUCACGCGGAGGAAAACUUUGAUAAAGGGCCUGCUGACUCGCCGCACGCAGAAAGCGAAACGAGCUCCAUCAAAAGUGGUGUUGAUAGCCCACAGUGGUCUCCAAAAGGUUAUCCGUCCAAGAGAAGCAUUCCUGGAAGUUCUCCUUUGUCAGCCAAAGCAGAUCACAGGCAAGGACGUAAAUUUCUGACUUUUUGUUUUUCUUCUAAUAUACGUCUUGUAGCUUUGAGUCGCACGAAGACGAGCCGCCCUUCCAUUCUUCAAGGUUUGCUCUUCGAUUUCAUGGUAAUGAACUUUUGUUUCGACUCGUUCUCUUUUGCAGCUUUGAUCAAGAUCCAUCUUUUGACUCAACGGAUCACUACGAAGAAACUCCUUGGACUAGCGCGUUCGGCAACCCAAACGAGGAUGUGUGGGGUCUAGGGACCGACUCUCCAUCUUCCUCUUUCCAGGUACUCUAUAACUUGUUAUUCUGAUUUGGUGUCAUCAUAACACAGGCGUCUUUCCUUCAGCCUUUAGCGGUUAAAACCCGAUCAGAAAGAGACUCUUUGGACUUGGGAUCGAUAAACAUAAGCUCUCCUGCUCACAGCGAAGCCAAGAACGAAGGCGACUUCUUUGGCAAAAAGGAGUGGAACGAUUGGCCUGGUGACACCAACAGCACUUCAGUGCCAAGCACUCCGUUGUUUAAGAGUGAGUCGCCAAAACAUGAAGGCUCGUAUUUCGGUCAACCGAGCCGGCUUGAGUUAUGAUAUGAUGCAACGCUUGUAGAUUGAGGUACCUUUUGUUGUAAUUGGUUUCUCCCACUCACUUUUGCAGUGGUUAUUUCUAUACACAUUUUUUCGAUUGCGAUUAUAAGAGCAAGAAAUGUGGAUCUUAAGGGUACUGACUUAUUCAUUGCCUUUCCAGUGAAGCAUAGAAACUUAAAGAUUGGAGGUGUGCUAGAACCAAACAAUCUCAGGUAGCAUAUCUCUUCCCCUCUCUUUGUGAGGUUCUUAGUAUCAUUUGUUCUUACAAGUGACGGGAAGUAUUUGGCAUUCAAGGUAGUUAUGGACACCCUUUGGACAAAGAUCAUUCAAGUUUAAAGCACUCCUCAAAGCUCUUGUGGCGCAGUCCCAAAACAUUCGACAUGCGAUCACAGAAGUGUGUAGUUACAUUGUAGCAGGUUCUUUAGAAUAUUUUUUUUUUUUCCGUUUUUGUUUUUCUCUUCUUUUGUACACGUAAUUUACAGCGACGGGGGUUCAAUACCCUUCCUAAGAACUUUCACUUUAAACCGAGGUGUCGUAACUACCGCCUCUUCACGUCUCGCGCGCUUCGUCUCCUUCGGUUUUCCAGCUUCUCAUGUGUCUGAUCUAAAGGUAUGCGCCUUGUUCUUUCUGUGUUUGCCACAAAAUUUUGUUUUCCUCUACCGCAGGAAAACCGCUUAUCAUGACGCGGGGGCUACUUUUCUUGCUGGUGCUGCUCUUCAUGAGUAGCAUCGUCAGCUGUAAGUUGUAGUUGCUGCAAAUGAGUGCCCGAGAUUAUAUCUUUUUCUUCAUAAUGCAGGUGACUUGGAGUGCGAGGAUUUGCCGGCGGAGGAUUGUGCAUUUGCGGUCUCGUCGUCGGGAGCCAGAUGCAUGCUUCAAAACGCAACCAACGAACUGAAAUGCGAAGUAUAAGUCUUUCGUAGCUGCUUGCUUUGAGCUCAUCACAGCUGGAUUUUUGUUGCAGACGUCCAUGGUCAUGUCGGACAAAAGAGUGGAAUGGAUUGAGAGUAGCGAGUGUAUGCAGUCGUGUGGGGUCGACAGAAUGACGGUUGGAAUGUUCCCAGACGCGUUGCUAGACAAGUCUUUUCUUCCCAAGCUCUGCAGCCCGAGCUGUCAGAUCAGCUGCCACAACGUUUUCGAUCUUUACGUUAGUCUCGCCGUUGGCGAAGGUAACACUUUUCACUUGAGAGAAAAAGGCUUGAAGUUUUAUCUCUUUCCUUACCAGGUUUCUACUUACCGAGUCUCUGCCAAACACAACCUGUGAGGGUGCACAGAAAGAUGAAGGUCGACUCGACUCCUCUUAUCAAGCCUCCGGACGAGAGUCUUCCAGCUCCAGCUCCAGCGCCCGAAUUAUCAGCAGCUCAAGGAAGUGUCCCCGCGGGCUCGCCGUCGCCAACGUCAACUCCAUCUAUUCAAGCACCAGCAAUUCAAGUACCAGUUCCAGCACCAGCACCAGCAAUUCAAGCACCGGUUCCAGCACCAGAACAGGCAGAAGCAGUGCAAGCACCAGUUCCAGCGCCGCAGCAAGUCCAAGCACCGGCUCCAGCACCAGAGCAGCCACCGGCACCAGCACCAGCUCUUCCAGUUUCAAUCGCGGCUCCGGCACCAGAGCUAACUCUAGCUCCAGCCCCGGUUUUACCGGCGGAGGAGCCUGUUCCAUUCUCGCCAACUUUGACACCAGCCGAGGAGCCUUUCCAGCCUUUCCCAUCUCCGCCAACUUUCGGACCGGCAGAGGAGCCGUAUCCAUCGCCAGUGGUGGCAGCACCAGCGGAAGAGCCAGCUCUAGCGGAGGAGCCAGCUCCGGCUGAAGAGCCAGUCCAAGCUCCGGCCGAGCAACCAGCCGAAGCUCUUGCUCCAUCUCUAGAAGACGGCGGCUGGUCUGAAGAAGUCGAAACUCCAGCGCCGGCUCCAGUGGCUGCCUUGGCCGAGGCGGAGGCUCCUUCGGCUGCUACACCGAUUUACGAGUCACACUUUGAGCUCGAAGCCCCGCCUCCAAGCACGUACUACGACGAGGAGCCAGCAGCAGCACCAUCGGAGGAAUCUAGCGUCGCGGAGGCUCCAAGUUCUUCGAGUUCUUACGAGGAAGCUGUCCCGCCAACUUUGUUUGAUGGUGGUGCCGAGGGACCAGUGGAAGCACCGCAUGCUUUGGAAGGACCGGCUCCCUCCCAGGAAGAAGAAGCUCCGCCGCCAGGUUUCUAUGGCGAGGAAGAAGCUCCGGCCCCGGAUUUGCUCGCGAGCGGAGAAGGCGGCGAAGCUCCAUCUCCAUACAGCGAAGAAGAAGCUCCAUCUCCAUGAGCAACCGGAAGGAGGAGCUGAAGCUCCAUCGCCAGAGUCUGAGCAGCAACAAGGAGGAGGAGCUCCAUCUCCAGCGAUUGAGAAAGCUCCAUCUCCGGCAUUUGAGCAGCAACAAGGAGGAACUCCAUCUCCAUCUCCAUCUCCAGCGUUUGAGAGGAGGAGCUCCACCACUACCUUUUUAAAUUUCUCUUAGUUUUGUUACAAGAGGUCAUAACAUAAUAUUAGGUCACUCGCGAUGCGUGAUGGAAAGAGAUUUCUCUUGCUGGAAUCGUCAAGCGCCAUUCGCGAAUGCGGCUGCUAUGAUCCAAGAUCCAAGCGAUCGAUCAUCGGGCAAUCUUCCCUCUCAUGGAGCGGCAUCCAAUCCAUUUCUUCGCGGAGCUCUUGGCAGCGUAAUGCGUGUCCUCCCAUUUUUUGCUCUAUACACAUUCGUUGUGGUCGCGAUUAUAGGUGGCAGUCGAGAGAGCGAGGAGCUAAAACAAGCCUGGAUUCGUAGAGAGUCAAGGUUUACGUGACUGAAUUUCUCAGCGAAUUUUUUCUUUUUUUCUUGUUUCCAGUGAAGCACGGAAGCGUACUGCUCGUACUGGCCGGAGUGGAAACCAAGAACAACAAUGAUGGUGCACGGCAUGGAGUCUGUGCGCGAUAGCUCUCUGGAACAAACUUUACGAAAGCUAUGGCCCCGGUCGCUUUCUCUUGCACACUGAUGGAUGGGCGUGGACGAUUCGCACGGCACGCUCACGCUUCUGGCUCUUUCAGUGACAAGGUGGGAUUUCUCUCUCCUUUGUCAGCGUUUUUGUUUCUAGGUGGAAUCGAGCUUUUCCUCAUCGUGUUUGCUCUCCAGGCGAUGAACUACGACCAAGUGAAGCUCCGAGAUGGGAGGUGUCUGGCCUACAAAGAAUUCGGGGUCGACAGGAACUCGGCGAGAUUCAAGGUGGUGGUCAUUCAUGGGCUUGGCAGUUCUCGCGACGCUCUUUUCCCGUGCUCACAGGUACGUAGUAGAGAGAAUCCUUCCCUUUCGCAAGUUUGGCUAGCCUACUCGAUCGCAGGAGCUUGCGGACGAGCUGGGACUUUACAUGGUCGGAUUCGAUCGAGCUGGCUAUGGACACAGCGACCCUUUUCCGCAAAGAUCUGUGAAGUCCGAAGCGCUCGACAUCCAGGAUUUGGCAGACCAGCUUCAACUCGGUGCGAAGUUCCACAUCAUAGCAAUCUCGAUUGGUGGCUACUCGGCAUGGUCGUGUCUCAAAUACAUUCCACACAGGUACAUCAUCUCUUCUUUUCAAGCUCUCUCUCCUUCGCACUCAAUCCUUUCUUUCUCUCCCAGGAUUGCUGGAGCGGCACUUGUUGCUCCAGCCAUCAACUACUGGUGGCCGUGCUUGCCACCAUCUCUUUCUCACCAGGCUUUCAGCGCUCGAUCGUUUCUAGACAAGUGUGGCCUUCGACUGGCUCACUACUUCCCCGGCCUCUACACCUGGUGGAGCAGCCAGAGAUGGCUAGAACCCGGCAUUUCCAGGCUCGACAAGGUGGACCAGACCAUCCUGGCCAGUCCCAGCAUCCUCAAGGCAAGAAAAAAAACUCUUUUUUUCUCCUUCGCUUGAUCGUUCUCUCGAUUUCUCAGCACCGAAGCCAAGCCCAACGCCAGGGAGCCCAGGAAUCCACCGCGAGAGACAUCCUCGUCCAGUUUGCGAGCUGGGAAUUCGAUCCAAGCCAGGUGGAGCAGCCGGGAGAGGGAAUUCGCGUGGAUAUCUGGCAGGGCGAUCGAGAUUACUUGGUUCCGGCGCUCCUCCAGCGUUGCAUCCACGAAAGAUUGCCCUGGACCGGCUAUCACGAGCUCCCAGAAAUGGGCCACUUGUUCUUCCUCCUCCCGGGGCGUGGCGAGGAGAUUAUCCGCACGCUGCUAAUCUAACCACGCGUAUUAUUCUAAUCUGAUCUCGUUUAGUCUAAACUUGUAUUAAGACAAGAUUAGUUUUUAAAGUAAUAUUGAUUAGUUUAAAAUUACAUAAUAUUGUUUACUCUAAAAUUGGUUACGAUAGUGACAAGUGGCGAGAAUCCUACCGUGAAAAUAAAACUGCCACGUGGAGUGUGGCCUGCCGCGCGAUUUGAAUUAUAUGUGGUUUAGGUUAGAAAGAACACGAAGAACACCUGAGCGGGGCCAUGGCGUACGGGUAUGACCUCGCGCUCGCGCUCUUUCUCGCGAUGCGUGAUUCCAGGUAGCACACAGGGAAGAAAGAUUCGUCUACAUGGGAAGAUCGAGGCAGCGUUGCGGGGAUAGAUCCCUACCGGGCAGGAGCUGGGGCUGGAUUUCGCCGUGAGCGCUGGAAGAAUCCAAUGUGCGCGGCCAGAUUAUCGAUCAAGGGAGCGGCGGCAUCGUCGUGUUCUCCAGAUCAGGGAAAGCCGCUCCUACUGCCGCCUUCUUCCGGCUCGCAUCAUCGCCGGGAGAGAUUCAAGAUCCUCGCGGCCGCGGGAAUCAGCGCCUUCUUGCUGCUGUCGCUCACAUUCUCCCCUCUCUGGAGCCUCCACGCCAGGCAUCGCCCCAUCCUCUCGCGGACGAGCUCUUCCAUUUCCUCCUCCGCCGCGACGACGCAGCAGCCCCGGCGCUCGUACGAUGUGCUCCACUACACCGCACUGGAGGCCAGCGAUGGCGACGAGAGGGAUAGAAUCCGGCAGCUCCUGGACGAGCGAUCGUCGGCCAAGUACUACUGGCACCACGGGCGGGGCGGGCGUGGCAGGGUGGAGCUGGAGCACAGCGAUGGCUACGAGCGGCGCCGCCCCACUCCCAUCCGGAGGCUGCGAGAUCGUCGGUGGACGCCGGAUCUCUCCAAUCCCAGGUACGCUCCCUACACCGGAGAAUUCCGCCAGAUGCUCCAGAGCUGGGCUCGCCGCAAGCGCUACGAUCCAGAGAUCAUGGCCGAGCUCCUUCCAGCGAUCAAAGAGCCCAUCGACCGCCACUACAAGAACUUAUCCACCACCACCACCACCGAGGACGAACUAGUGAUCCAAGAGCAAGCCCACCAUCGCCACCACCACCAUCACACCAAGGAGGAUGACCGAGAAGGACACUUUGGCGACCAAAGAAGAUCAUCAUCGCCAUCGCCAUCACCAUACCCGACGUGUGCCGUGGUUGGAAACAGCGGCGUCCUCCUCAACCGGACUUACGGCGCGCUCAUCGACAGCUACCAGAUGGUGAUGCGCCUCAACAACGCAAAGGUGGCGGGCUUCGAGCGCUGGGUGGGAUCCAAGACCACCAUCUCCUUCGUCAACAGCAACAUCGUCCACUCGUGCGCUCGCCGCCACCGCUGCUCCUGCCCCUCCUACGGCGACGCCGUCCCCACCGUCUCCUACGUCUGCCAAGUUGCGCACUUCCUCGACUUGGCCUACUGCCGCGCGCAUCGCCGAGCUCCGCUGCUCGUCACCGAUCCCCGCUUCGACAGCCUCGCCACCCGGAUCGUCCGCUACUACUCGCUCCGCCACUUCUUCCACACCACCGGGAGAUCUUACGACGACUGGAACAAGCUCCACGACGGGACGCUCUUCCACUACUCGUCCGGGAUGCAAGCGGUGAUGCUGGCGCUGGGGAUCUGCGACGAGGUGGGCCUGUUUGGAUUCGGGAAGCUGUCCAAUUCCACUCACCACUAUCAUACCAACCAGAGGACCGAGCUCGCGCUUCACGACUACGAGGCCGAGUAUAUCUUAUACCGUGAUCUCGUCCAUCGCCCAGGUAUGGUUCCUUUUCUUAAUGAGUCUGGCCUGGCGGUUCCUCCUGUGAAGAUCUUCCUCUGAGAAACUCAAACACACUUUUUUUUCGUUCUUCUCCUGUUUCUUAGGAAGAAAAAGAGAGAUCUUUCAUCUUUUACCUGUACAUUUUGCUCUUACGAAGAAAAAGUUUCCAUUCUUUUUUUUUCUUGAGUUUUCGUAGCGUUUUGGAAGAUCGAUCGAAGCUCAGUAGUAGUCCGUCUGCCUUUGUGCUACUUCGCUCUGCAAAAUUCGUUAUUCGUUUGAUCGACUGGAAACAAAGUAUCGAUUUUUCUUUCACAAACCUCGAAUGCUCUCUUGAGAUGCUCCAGCUCCUUGUCCAGGUCGCUGAGGGCCAGGUUGUACGCUUGAAUCGGUGACGACUGGCUGGUGGUUUGCACCUAUGGAUCGAUCAAAGUUUCAUCCAUCAGUGCUUAGAAGAAAACAUGAUGGAAAAAAGAGAAGCUUUCACCUUGACAAUGAUCUUGUAUUGCAAUGGAUGUGGUAGCUUGUAUCCAGCAAACAAAACAUUGGGAUCGCGGUGUAGCUGCCUGAAAGCCAAAGAAAAAAAAAGAAGAAUCACUCCAGGAAGCUAAACAAAAGAGAGGAUUUGAUUUUCUAGCUUACAUGCGGACAACGUUUCCAACAGUGUGAUCUUCUCGCUGAAUGGUGAAAGCGCCGGCAUUCAUUACCUUCAUAUCCCUCUCAUACGCAACCCUACGCGCGAUCAAGAGAAAAAAGAAAAAUAAGAGAAAGGACUUUUGAGCAGCCACGGCACUGGAAAUCAUCGCGCGCGCGGGCGCCCGCAAUGCCGUAACAUCCACAACUUACUUCUUGGUGCCCUCGGGAACGACGAAGCGCUCAUAGCGAUCCGGCGCGUUCAUGGCGUCAAAAGAGAAGAAAGAAGAAAAACCCAACUUUAGGGUUUAUGGGUUCCCUCGCUUCGGGGGUUCGAAUCCUUUUCAUCGCGAUUUCCUCGCGCAAAAUGCAUGACACCACGAAAAUCUCCACCACCGAUUCCUUGCCGGCACCGAAAUCGUGAAACCCAAACAUCGAUCGAUCGAAAGAGCUGCCCAAGAACCCUAAAAUCACAGCACACGCGUUCUUGGAUCUCCCCUGUUUCUAUUCUUUCAAAAGUAGGUACCAGCACUGUAAGUACACUACAUUGCUUUGGAAAAUAAAGAGAGAAAAAAAAACCACAGUGAUUCUUUCCUUGCUCGUCCUUUACAUUGUGUUCUUUGGAUCGGUCGAUCGCUCCCUGUUUCGUUCUUGGCCCUCUCUCUCGAUCGAUCGAUCGAUCCAGAGGAGAAGAAGAAGAGUGUUGCUAGGAAUUGUGAUGAAUCAAAUCAAAACCACCAAAGCCCAGCCAUGGAUCAUGCUCGCGGGCGCGCGCGCGCGAGACAGAGAGAGGCUCAGUGCCGCGUUGGAACGAACGCGAGGUGCUGGAGAUGGUGGUGGUGGUGGUGGUGGUGUUGAUGCGGGUGGAUCGAUCCACCGCCAAAGAAAUCGUGCUGCUGGUGAUGGCGCUGGAGCUGCGAUGCUCGCGGAUCAAACAAUCCAAAUUUCCCGGCCGCCAGCGCCGCCGCCACCGCGGUGGGCGACGAUCCGGAGGAGCAAGACGAGAGCGGCGGCGAGGAGGCCGCCGCCGCCGCUACUCCCGCCGCCAGCGGCGAUCCAGCGCCGCCACCGCUAGCGGCGGCGGCAGCGGCCGCCAUGUAGCGCUGGACCUCCUUGGCUACCAUGUCCUUCAUCAUCCCCAAGAGCCCAUUGUUGCCACCAUUGCCAGGAGGAGGAGAAGGAGCUCCUCCAUCCAAUCCUCCAUCCAAUCGCCCUUGCCGGGGCUGGAAGAUCGGCGCGAGCGCUUGCGCCACCGCCGCCCGGAUCGCGGCGCUCAUCAAUUCCACCGCGUCCUCGGCCCGGACGUAGCCGCUGGGCACGAACGCCGGGGCGGCAUUCUGGAAGGAGGAAGGAGGAGGAGUGCUUGGCGGCGGCGGCGGAGGAGGAGCUGGAGCUCCAGGCUUGCUCGAUUCCAUGGUCGCCGCUGGGAUUUGCCCCGGGAGAGAAAGGCUGAGCGAUGUGAGUGGAUCCGCCGCGCCGCCGGUGUUGGAGCUGGAUUCCUCGCAUGGAUUGUAGCUGGCAAACGCGGACGCGCGGGGCAGGGGCUUGAAGAUCCCAUUGGCGGCAGCGGCGGCGGUGGUGGUGGUGGUGGCGGCGGUGGCGGUGGUGGUGGUGCUCGUGGUCGUGUUCUUGGGCGACAGCGCGUCCCCAAAAUUCAUCCUUUUCAAGCUCCGCGAAUCCACCUCCCAAUUGCUGCCAUCCUCGUCGUCGUUGGACAUGUCAUUGCUGCUGCGCUUGAAGCUCGAGAUCUCCUCCUCGUCGCUGUUCUUGACGAACUGGUGGAUCUGGUGGUGCUGGCGAUGAUUGGCGUUCUCGUGCUCCAUGCCGGCGGUGGCGGUGGCGGUAGCGUGGCUCUUCUCGCCACCGCUACCACCGCCACUGGCACAGCAGCGCCGCCGGAGAGUGGAGUUCCAGUGGUUCUUGAUCGCGUUGUCUGUUCUUCCGGGCAAGAGGCGCGCGAUGGUCGCCCACUUGUUCCCGUGCUGCGAAUGCGCCUUGAUGAUGGUGGCGUCCUCGGCGGCGGUGAAGGGGCGGUGCUCCACCUGGGGGCUCAGCUGGUUGCACCACCGCAGCCGGCACGAUUUGCCCGAUCGCCCAGCAAUCCCCUUGCUGAUGAGCGACCAAUUCCUCGCGCCAUACUUGUCCACCAGCUUCUGGAGCGCCGCGUCCUCCUCGGGGCUCCACGGCCCCUUGAUCCUGUCCAGCUCCUCCGCCGAUGCUCCGCCACUCCCACCACCGCUCUUGCCAAGCGCCAUCGUGCACAUCGCUCGCAUCUACGCAAAUCUCCCCCGAAAUACCGCUCGAUUCAGCCGAUGCGCGCCAAGAAUCCCAGGAUUCUUGCCCAGAACAAUGGCGCCAUUGAUCGAAUCGAUCCGAUCGAGCUGGAAUCGUCGCUUGGAUCGAGAGAGGAGAAGAGAGAAGAGGAGCGCUGCCCAAAAACCCUAAACUCAAGAACAAAAAGAGUGAAGCUCAAGGCACACACACACACCCUCUCUCUCUCGCCCCUACAUAUGGCCACAACGGCCAAUGGCCAUGGCCAUAAUAACCAUAACGCAAACUCUAACCACCACUCCACAUCAUGCCAUACAUGCCAUGGUCCCCCAUGGCAUCAGCAACCAUGACGUCAGGCGCCCUCCAUUUGCAUACGCAUACACAGUACUGCUGACUGGGCGCACGCGGCCGUACGCAGCCGCCAGAGCCCUACGUGUUGACGUGUCGCGCAGAGGCUGGAGAGGAAUCGCCCGCUUGUGGCCCAUGGCCACUCCCCUGUACGGCUCGGCCCACCAAACGGAUAAGACCGGCCAGGGGUUAACGUCGGAAAACAGGCCCCAAUUUUCCCGGCCGGCGAACUUGUCGCUUGGCCGCCAGCCGAGCCGGCUGCAGCCAAUGCAGCCUGGAUCGGCCGGUCGGCCGGUCGGGGGUGCCGGCAAAAUUUCCCGGCCGCCGGGAACUUGAUUUUUACUACUAACCUUCUAUUUCUCUUUUCUCCCUUUUUUGUAACAACGGAACAAUACAAAUAACCGCUGUGCCACCCAGAGAUGGGCUUCUUCUUGCUUUUGUUUGCCAAUCAUGAGCCUAGCUUCCGGAGACAUCCUCCCACGCCAUCAACAUGUUGGAGAUGGGUGACAAGGGAACCAAAUGUAGGGCCGCCUCCUUUUCCUUUCGCGCUGGGGCCUCCCCUUUCCUCUUUCCUCCUGUGAGUGACAAAAACCACCACCACCACCACCACCACCAGACCUAGUGCCAAAACAAAGCCUCGCAAAAAACAAUGCCCAAGAUACCCCUGGCAAAGCAAGACCCCACGGCCAAUCCCAAUUUGCCCAGUUAGGGCAAAAGUAUAUUUGUUUAUGGUUUCUCGGUUAAAGCCACUCCAGCCAUGUUUGACAGAGACAUGGAUGCAUCGAAUGGGAAGAAAACCCUAUUCUCUUUCACAACACACACUCCAUCACCUCAUUAUCAUAAGGAAUCCUUCAACUCCACACUCUUCUCCAGAAGUAGUAUUCAGUGAAAGAGCAUCAAAAAGUUACCACCACCGGGAUCGUGGCAUCUGUCUGUACUGUGGCUGUACACAUACAUGAUAGACCAGUAGUGUAUAAACGAAUCAAUCUUAUAUUUAUACCACUCGCGCCUUAAGAUAUGUGCCUACGUACCCCAGCUUUUGCCCAACCAAGCCAAAAGAUUCCUGCCCCUCAUUCAUUUCGAUCAUUUUCAAGGGCUUUUCUUUUUCGCUCUCGCAUCGCUUAGAGGGACCUGACCGGACCCGGUCAAAAUAUCAAUCUAGAAGGCAAAAAAACUGUAUCGCCUUUAGCUGCUCUGCUCCCUAGGAAUGAUGCAAUCCAUCUUUAAUCGCCCAGAAUCUUUUUUUAAUUCCCUAAAGCUUUCCUCCACUUCGAAAGCCAAACCAUGUUCCAAUGUACAAACUAUACAAAAUCGUGAGAUUAAUUUCGUGACCCCGGCUUUAGUUUACGUGCAAGUUGCGCUACAAGCCAGCAAUCAUAUCGCCGCUCUUUACUGGGAUCCAGUAAGACAGGCUCGUGAUUAGCGAGCGAGCGAGCGAGCGAGGGGAUCAAAGGGAAUCUUUUUUCUUUGUUUCACCGGUCAGUUCUUCGCUAGUGGUGUUAGGUCAAUCAAGUGGUAAGACACCAAGCUGGCUCUAGCUUGCAAUGCAAGCGAGGAAACAAAACAAAAUGCCCCCUGCGACCUUGGGAUCCAAACUCAAGCCAUACAAAGCAUAUAAAAUAAGGUGGUAACACGUGCAAUGGCGAUCGGGCAUUUGCAUGGCGCCCUAAUUUGCAAACUCCAACAAGAGAAGAGAAAAAUUUUGCCCGGUGCUCGCGCUGUGUCCGGCAGAAUCAGACACAACCCACAAAUGGUUAAAACUUAAAAGCAGCCCUAAAAAGCAACAGAUUUAACGGCAAGCCGGUUAGCGAUUUAACGUGCUAAAACGGUUUUUAAAACCGGGCGCCGGUUUUAACGGGCACAACUGGGGCCGGUCCAGCUAGAAAUGCGGCCGCCCACGUGUCUAAAUUGCCAGCCUGUGCGGCAGUUCACGUGAAUAAAAAGUUAAAUGCGCCACGCGUCCGGCCAACGGACGCUCCAGAUGUGGAGAGCUAGCGGCACGUGGGCCGUUGGAUCUGGGAGACAGCCUGGCCGUUAGAAGUGGGUGGUUUCGCUUUUUUUUUUUUUCUUUUUAUCGCUUUCCACAUGCCAGAAAUGCGUUGACUGCGCCACUGACCGUGGACCUGCCCCAACUACUUCGCCUUUGGGGAUUAAAAAACCAGUAGAAAUGAUUUUUUUCGGCCAGUCCGUGUACGGCGGAAUGGGACAUGCGUACGGCAACAAACGGGCCAUAGUCCAAUGGAACUUGGGUAACUUGGAACUCUGGAACUCCUGGCUGGCUCUGGAUGUAUGGGCCCUAGAUUUUAAAACCACCUUUCGCGCGGUUUUAAAAAAUUUAUUUUGUCUCCCGAUCUGAUCUGCCAGAUCCAAACCCAGUCGCUCCAUCUCUCUCGAAUUCUUGUUUUUCGACCAGGUGCACACUUGUCUGGUGUUUGUCUCCGCGAAUUAUCGAGGAAAGGGGAGAAAAGGGCUGGGCGAGCGCUUAAAGAAACGCUUCCCAGCAGCCCAUUCCAUCCACGGGAGGAACAGAUCCCGGUAAGCAUCAACUUACGUGUGUAGGAAAACGAUCGAUCGCGGGAUCGAUCUGGACAAAAAUGGACGCCAAACCGAGACAAAGAGAGAGAGAGUAAGAGGAGAAAAAAUAGAGGCCAAUGCAUACAAUGCAGUGUUAGACUCACUAACUUACGUGGGGGAGAUUUUUGUAGCUUUGUUAUGGUCUUGGAGGUUGUUACUUGCAACAACUUUACUCGACCAGGAAAAAAUUUUCGUUUGUGUCGGCCACCAUCUCUCCUCGUAUGUUGAAACAAAUCUUUGGCGUGUUAUAGGGUUCCACCACCACCUUUUCUUCCUUUCUAAAAACCCUAAAAGAGCGCAUGCCCAUUUUGUCGCCAAACAUCACAUUCACGUUUUAUCCUUGCAGAUCCGCCCAGAUCGCGGAAUCAAUGGUUGGUUGGGUGGGCCAGAGAGGCAUAAGCGCAAGCCUCAAGCCCUAGCAUUUCGCGGAAGCUUCCUCCGCGUGGAUCCAAGCUGGCGCUGACUUGACUUGACUGGCCUUGACGCCGCUGCCCGUCCAGGAACAGUGGACUGGUGGACUGGACCACAAACCUUUUCCUUAUUUCUUGCUCCUCUCUCCGCGUAGCAGGGCUGUGGAGUAGCCAAAGAAAGUUAUAGAGGUAGCGUCGUAGCUGCCAAGGGAUGGAAUGAAAUCCAGUGGCAGUAUCAGAAAAAGACGGUGGCGGGCGGGCGGGCGGGCAGUUGGUGGGUGGCGGUGACGUGCUCGUCCGCCCAUUCCUUUGUGUGUGGGAUGAGGUAAGAUUUUGCGCAUAAGGUGCGUGACGUCCACCUGUCUGUCCGUUUGAUGCGAUCCCCCUCGUCCGGCCGCCAUAAUUGAAGGACGGACGGAUGGAUCGAUACAACAAUGUUACAAUAGCAACAGAAAAAAAAAAGAGGAAAGGAAAAAGAGAGAAAAUAAAGUGAAAAAAAAGAAGUUGUGUUGAUGAAUUGAAUCGAAUUGAAGUGAUGUAAGUUUUCCACAAGUUGAUUGAUUGAUCGAUUGCCUUCAACGACCAGGACAGCAUGAGGCAACUUAUAAACUUUCAGACAGGUGCAAAUUUUUUUUUCAAAAGCUUAAAACCGGUGGAAUGUUCCCAUGGGAUAUGCUCGCAACAGGGCAUGGGCAUGGCCCAUUGCCCAUGAUUGCUAUGCCUAUGAUGUCAGCAUGCAUGACGUCAUGUCAUCCCGGCCAUGGAUGAGGACAAUGCCAUGCAUAGAGGAUAACAACACUGCAUGGUGGCGUGGCGUGUUUCUGUCCAGUGAUUGAAAAUACACCCAGGCAGUAAAUGUGUGUGUGACUUCUCCAGCUAAUCAACAGCUGGGGUCCGUUAGUUCUUCUAUAUAUUUUUCUACCGGCAAGUUAGUUUAACCUUCUACUUGGGUAAACCUUGUUUGUUUGUUUUGAAAAAAGCUCGCACGUCCGCGUCCGCGUGAUUUAAGAAUCGAAUCGCUUGGCUUAGAAAAUCUAGACAUUGACUGAUUAUUUCUUAGCCCAAACACACAAGAGGCAUGAAAUGAAACUUGGUGGUGGAGGCCCCAUUCUAAUGUGAGGGGCAAAGGGGACAUUCGAGCCAUUGUUAAAUUGGUCAGCUCACACGUCCAAAGCUCGCCACCUUUCUUUUUUACAAGGCUAGGGCUCCUCCUGUUAGUUUAAACCCCCGCAUUUAAGCGAGUGUCGGUUGGGGAGCCAGUUGACAAAACAGAAAACCGAAAAAAGUGCGGGCGGGAAGGAUGAUGGGAAGUUUCGGUGCCUUUAAAAUGUCUUCUUUUUUAUCUUUUAUACAAGGGCGUGUCACUUUCGUGAUGAGAAACCAAGAGGGGGAGAAGUUCUUUGUCCAAAUCUCACAGGCAUCUUGAUGACGUCCAACUAUCAUAUCGAUAUCCCAACGCUCUUUAGCUGCGCGAUUUCUUUCGUGGCGCUCUAUCUUCUGGGAUGAGAUGAGAUGAUCCUUCCAAUCUCCUCCUAUAAUUACGGCGAUGUGAAUAUGGUCGUCAAUCACGGCGCGAGAAAUAUCAACGAUCCAGCUUGUCCCAGCCAAGAUCAAGGGACCAAGGAUUGAAUGCUCGCCCCGGUCCAAAUCACAAUGAAAGUAAAGGGAAGGGGGAACGCCCUAGAAGAGUGCAAACAAAGGCGAUUCGAUGCUGAUCUUGGAAGUUGACAUGACUGGAAAGCUCCACACACACGAAUUUGUAGCGGGCGAGGAUCGAACCCACGACUUCUUUCUUGCGAGUGGUGUUAGGCGGGACACCUGGAUAGGAAAACAGUUAAAUUACCAACCCGACAGGCGACCAGACGCGGCUGCGAGACAGCCGUCCGAUGGCUCCCUGUUAACGGUGGCAGUUAGAUGUCUUUGCACGCAAUUGACAACCAGAUAAAGCCCGUACCGCGAAUAUCCCGCGAAGAUAUCGCGGACAACUGUGUCUAACUGCCGGCUAUCUAGGAGCAUCCAACGGCCUCAGCGCCACCACGCUUAAACAGAAGAUCCGCUCCUACAAUGGUGGUCAAUAGCUUUGGUCAAUGGUCAUAUAUGGUCAUAUACAAUGUAAAGUUAAAGAAGCGCCAUUUUCACUCAAAACCCUAGGGAUGGGGUUUCUCUACGCCUACGCGCUCGUCUUCUAUGCGCUGUUCGUCUGGCGCUCGAUCGAUCUCUCCUCAGGUAUAUGCGAUGAACGCGAUCGAUCCAAGCUCACAGAUUUCGGGAAAUGCGAGGGCAGGGAAGGAGGCUUGGGGUCUGCGGGGAUUGAGAAGGGGCUGGAUUUUGGAGCGCAAUGUGGUAAUCCAGAGUCUUUCCCCUUUUCGCGUUGUUCUUGCUGAAAUCUUCUUGCUAUAGGAUCUGUCUGAUGCGCAAUGGCGGAAUUUUCGAGCAAAUCUCCCAGCCCUGACGAUCGUCCUGGGAGGUUUCACGGUUUUAAGCUUGAUCCUUACGCAUGGUUUGAGGUUUGGAGGCAAAGGAAUGUCGCGCUAUUGGCUUGUAGUUUCGACCAUCUUUCUGGCGUACAUGCACGAAUGCUGGUGAGUUUUUUGGUUCCUUCUCUUUGUCUCUCUUUUCUUAUGAGCUUUCGAAUGCCAGUAUUGUAUUUAUAGUUGCUAUAGCGGCUGGAAACUUCGCCCUCACAAAGGUCGUUUAUUGCUCUUUUUCUUCGAUCUUUUUUUCUCAAAGGUUGUGAUCUCGUUUGUGCUAGAUUGCAGGUGGAAGGUCCUUCUUUCCGAUUCUUCUUUGGAGCUACAACUUGGCAUUUCUCAUACUAAAUAGAGUCUACGAGGGCUACUCCUUUACGUCUCUUGGGUAUGUUAGUGCUCGUUUUUCCUUGACUUGAAUUUAUCAUUUCUUGCAUAGAGAGGCUUUUGCAAGGCUUGACAAACAUCGGGGUGCAAUGCGGUGGCAUAUCAGUUUCAAUUUUGGUAUGAGAAGAGUUUCUUUUUUCCCUUCUAUUUUUUUUAUUCUAAAUUCUCUAUUUUAGUUAUGCUACGAAUGGUGAGCUUUGGCCUAGAUUACCAUUGGACUCGUUGUUGUCGACCGUCGGCUAUUAAUUGGGAGGUUUGUUUGCUCCUUGUUUGGGUUUCCUCUUCUCAUGUUGUAAAACUUUUUAGAAGCACAACGCUACUUGCAGUGAGUGCCAAACUGGUAACCCGUGCUACCUCUCGCGUCAGGUAAUGUUUUUGAUGCAGCUUUUGAGCCAGCACUACUUACUGUAGCUUUAGGAGAAAGUCUUACCGGCAAAUGCCUAUGGCUUGACAGCGUACUUCAGCUAUUUGUUCUAUGCACCGCUCUACAUCGCUGGCCCGGUUGUUAGCUUCAACUCGUUUUCUUCACAGGCAAGUUCUUUUCGCCCUUUGAGUUUUGAUGUUUAAAGAUCUCUAAUGCAGAUUGAGAAUCCGCGGAUAGGCUACAAGCAGGCUGGUGCCUACGGUAUCAGGUGGCUUGCUUGCCUGCUACUUAUGGAACUUAUGACACACUAUUUUUA
rnacentral:lncRNA from 1 species